UUUUUUGAUUCUGAAUUCUUCUAAUGUCUUCUGUUACCUCUGAGAAGAAGCCAUCCUUUAUCCUGUUCUAGAAAAGUGAUACACCAAGCUUUAGGAAAGAUGAUGAAAGAAAAGAAAUGGGCCCAGAGGGACCUAAGGAAACCAGGCCAAACUUGCUGUUCACGUGGACCCUUACAGGGAGAAUGGAAGGCAAAAGCAGAGAACUGGGUCCAAUUUUCUUUCUCAGUGCUAUCUGUGCAGUGGUCAGAUGUGGCACUCACAACCAAAAGGCUUUUGAAACAGCACUGGUUUGGCUACAGACCUUGAUGUGUGUAUAAUGAAACUUGAAAGGUCUCAGAGGAAGGAACAGUGGUGUAGUGGACGCAGGGGACAGCUGUUCCCUGUUGGGAGACAAUUCUGCAUGGGCCCUUUGUAUUUCUGCACAUCUUGCAAGUAGAGACACUAACUGCAUUUGUGCUGGAUUAGAUUUUCAAGUAAACUGCUUUGGAAGAUGAUAGUGUCUCCCUCUAUAGCAUGAGCAGGUUUGUUUGCUCUUAAACAUGAUAAUAGCUUCUGCUGGGGCAAAGGUAAGGCCGACUUAACUGACCAUUAUAAAAGAUUCAUGUUGGGGAUUCGUUUUUGUAACACAACCCGUGUGUGUGUGUGGGUAUGUGUGUGUGUAAGUGUGUUCGUGCGUGCUUGCAGGUGUCAUCUGCCCCCCUUCUUAUUUUCCUAUGGGAAUUGGGAAUCUGGUGCAAAUGCUGAUACUGUAGCUACUGCUAUUGCUGUGAGUAAUAAACUAGGCUUUGUCUCUAACCCAAGAGUCUUGUGUCUUUUGCCAGCAUUCAUGAAACUGUGGUAGACUAAUUUGUUAACCUGCAAAUAGGGGAAAAAUCUCACAUCCUUCGCAGGUCUUGACAUGAGUCAAGUGACAAACCAAAAAAUGGGGACUUUUUAGUUGAGAAAGACAAAGACCAAAGGGGUAGAGGAUAAGGCUGAAGUAUAUAAAAUCAACAAAAGUAAACUUGGUUGUAUUCACCAGUCUUGAAUAUCAAGUGAAGGGAUGAAUCCCUGAUGUUUGAGAGAGGUAAGUUUAUGUCAAUAGAAAGGAAUUUCUUCACAUACAGGAUACUAACCUUAUAGAACUUACCAUCUCAAUAAAUGGUGCUGGCUGAAACUACAAAUUAUUUUAUAAAAGGCCUCACUAAAGUGAUGGAUGACAAACCUAGAAUGCCCAGUUCAAUACGUAUUGGAUGACCGAGUGUUUGCCAAGUGACCAUCUAUAAGAUGAUCUCAUUAUCUGUGUCAGAGAAGAACUACUGGGAAAAAUCAUUAAUUUGACCUAACAAGGACCAUUUUUAAUCUACAAAGUGAGAAAUAGACUCUUCACUGCUUUAUCUAGUUUUAGUUUUUACUAUGGAUACACAUACAUAAACAUAUACAUUUGGGAUAUGUAAGUAUAAAAAUCUCCUUUACAACAAGCUACAAUUCAUAAUCAUCUUAAUUCAUAAAUGUUAAAUAAUAAUGGUAAAAUAUGCUCCUAUUUUAGGGCAGUUGUUUCCCAAGCUGGAUGUGAAGAACACUUCCAGGAAAUUUUAAGAGGCAUAUCUUGAAAAAAAAAAGUCUCACGGUCAAAUAUAUUUGAGGAGCUAUGCACUAUAUGUAUAUAUCUUUGGAAAUUCAAAAUUUACAUUAAUAAUGAGGGCUGUGAUAAGCCCUGAGUCACAGAAACCUUUAAGCUCGUGUUUCCCAAAUUUUUAGUAUUGACCGAUCAUUUCACAGCAUGCCCAUUAUUAUCUCAUGAAACACUAUUCCAUGAAACAGCAGAUUGAGAAAUGCGUUUGUCAAUUGUUAAAAAAUGAAGAUUUUUAUGGCAAGGACUGCUAUAAUGCCAACAUUAUCUAUAAAGCCUCACUAAUUUGAAGUUAAAAACACCAGUGAAGUGGGGACAGAAGGGCCUAACAGGUGACUGGAUGUCCUGGUUUGCUUCUCUCAUACAGGUGGUUGGGCCAUCUUCACCUGGGGGGAUCCUUGGGAUUAAUUGUUUCUUGUGUCCAAGGAGCCCGAAUGCCCCAAUUUCAUGAAUAUUUUCAUGUUUAAGGCAAGGAUAACAAUCAUAGUUAUAGCUAACAUUUAUUGCUUCCAAUUGAUGUGCUACAAUGCCAUUUUGAGCACUUUAUAUUCUAAAAUUCUCACAAUAAACCAUGAGAGAGGUAGUUUUAUUAUCCAUGUUCACAGAAAAGGAAACUGAGGCACGGGUGGUUCUGUCACUUGGCCAAGGCUAUACAGCUAGUAAGUGGAAGAGCUAGGAUUUAAACCCAGACAGUCUGGCUCCAACAUCAACUCCUGUGCUUAACUACCUUUGGAAUUACAGCAUAUGUCAGCAAACUUCCACAUUACCAGUGUAAUUCAUACCACAAAGCAAUUCACUUUACCUUCUAGUUGGGUUGAGCCUAGGUAAGUAGCCUUCAGAGCUUAGGAACCAUAAAUAACAACCAGACCUUGUGCUAACACAUCUUGAAAAGCUUGUCUAAGCUUUACAAUUGUACCAGAAGAAGUAAAAUACAAAUAGGACAGCAUGUACCAUUGCCAAAACAAUCUCCCCUUUGUAUAGUUUUUUCUUCUCACCAAUUUGUUACUAUAUGCAAUACUGACUUUAAGUAAACAAACAAGAAGCUACAAACAAUACACCCACCCUCUUUUAAUUACAGCACUACAACAAGGCCACUUUGUUAAAAUGGUUCAUCUCUAAAAUAUUUUUCUUACCAAAAAUGAUACACAGAUACAUACACACUCAUGUUUCCCCCUAAAACCCCAAUCCUUUUUGUAUGUUGUGAGUGGAGUGCAGAGAAUAAAGCUCCUACUGAGUGCUUUUGGCCUUCAGAUUUGGUGCUCAUUACUGUGUAGACAUUCUCAGCCAGAGCGCGACAACAGGCAUUCAGAACUGUGUUUUCUGCAAUGUUUAUUGUUUAUUCCACGAUCUUUUGUUGUUUUUUUUUGUUGUUGCUGUUAUUUUACAUGUUGGCAUAUUAAUUUCUAUUGCUGUUGUAACAAAUUACCACCAAUUUAGUGGCUUAAAAAAACAACACUCAUGUAUCAUCUCACAGCUCUGUAGGUCAAAAGUCCAAGUAUGGCAUGGCUCAGCUGGUUCUCUGUUAGAGUUGUACAAAGCUGACAUCAAGGUGUCGGCAGAGCUGUGUUCCAUUCUGGAAGUUCUGGGGCUAAAUCUGCUUCCAAUCUCAUACGUGAUUGUUGGCUGAAUUCAGUCUGAUGUGGUUGUAAGACUGAGGUCCCUGUCUCCUUGCCAGUUGACAGCUGGGGGCUGCCCAUUGUUCCUAGAGGUCUCUCUCUGGUUCCUAAUGUGGCUGCUACGUCUCAGAGCCAGCAAAGCAUGUUUGAUCCUUCUCAUACUUGGAGUCUCUCUCUCACAUCUCUUUUGCUUCUAGCCUGAGAAAAUUCUCUCUCUUUUUUUUUUUUUAGACGGAGUCUCGCU
rnacentral:lncRNA from 1 species